rnacentral:rRNA from 1 species
GGAUGAGCCCGCGGCCUAUCAGCUUGUUGGUGGGGUAAUGGCCUACCAAGGCGACGACGGGUAGCCGGCCUGAGAGGGCGACCGGCCACACUGGGACUGAGACACGGCCCAGACUCCUACGGGAGGCAGCAGUGGGGAAUAUUGCACAAUGGGCGAAAGCCUGAUGCAGCGACGCCGCGUGAGGGAUGACGGCCUUCGGGUUGUAAACCUCUUUCAGCAGGGAAGAAGCGAAAGUGACGGUACCUGCAGAAGAAGCGCCGGCUAACUACGUGCCAGCAGCCGCGGUAAUACGUAGGGCGCAAGCGUUGUCCGGAAUUAUUGGGCGUAAAGAGCUCGUAGGCGGCUUGUCGCGUCGGAUGUGAAAGCCCGGGGCUUAACCCCGGGUCUGCAUUCGAUACGGGCAGGCUAGAGUGUGGUAGGGGAGAUCGGAAUUCCUGGUGUAGCGGUGAAAUGCGCAGAUAUCAGGAGGAACACCGGUGGCGAAGGCGGAUCUCUGGGCCAUUACUGACGCUGAGGAGCGAAAGCGUGGGGAGCGAACAGGAUUAGAUACCCUGGUAGUCCACGCCGUAAACGUUGGGAACUAGGUGUUGGCGACAUUCCACGUCGUCGGUGCCGCAGCUAACGCAUUAAGUUCCCCGC